rfam:Gossypium hirsutum cultivar TM-1 chromosome 13, whole genome shotgun sequence
GGGUGCGAUCAUACUAGGACUAAUACACCGGAUCCCAUCAGAACUCCGCAGUUGAGCGUGCUUGGGCGAGAGUAGUACUAGGAUGGCUGACCUCCUGAGAAGUCCUCGUGUUGCACCCC